rnacentral:lncRNA from 1 species
UAUAUAUAUAUAUAUAUAUCGGGAGUUACCUCAAAUACUAUUAAUAGUAUUUGGACUUUUUUGUUAUCGAUUUUUUAGUCGUUGCAUCUAUACUUUUAUCAAUUCCACUAUUUAAAUCAUACUAUUCAACCAACUGCCCACUCAACCCUCACUACAACAGAAUUAGGUUAUAUGGACACAUAUUUGGGACAUUUUUGAGUAAGUGUCACAUUUAUGUUAAAAUUUAAAAAAACAUCUACUAAUGCCUAAAUAUAAAGCCCAAUCUAAUCAAAAAUAAAAGAUUACUUUACUCAACCCACCACACCCAGUCCAUUUGGCCUGAUUACAAACAGAAAAGAAAAAAAAAAGAAAAAUUAAUUACUAUAUUUUUUUCUCUUUUCACUCAAUCAACUGAAAUUCUAGACGAAGAGCCAUUCCUGUCGUCCUCCUCCGCCACCGCAGCCAACAAGAUAGAGUUUCGGCGGUUGCUAAAUGCUUAAAUAAGUUGUUGGUAAAUUAGCAGCACUCUUUUAGAUUAUAACGACACUCUUUAACUGUCACUAUAUACCUAGCGACCCCACAUAUAGCAACACUUUUUAAAAGUGUCGGUAAUUUUAGCUAACAGCAUUUUUUUCACAUGUACCUACAUUUAAAAGUGUCACUAUAGACCGUUUUUGUUGUAGUGCCUAGGAGGAUCAUCACUAAAUUCUAAAGAACUACUAUCUUUCUAACUAUAUAAUUUUUCAUCUAAUAGCUAAAAACUCGAUAAUAAAAGAGCCCAAAUAUUAUUAAUAAUAUUCCAAUCUAAUUCUAUUUAUCAGAUUAUUC